rnacentral:lncRNA from 1 species
AUCAGAUCCACCUCUCUUGCAUUGCAGGCAGAUUCUUUACCACUGAACCACUGGGGAAACUCUUAUUUUACUCAUAGCAUCACUAGUGUAUAUCCAACUCCAAUCCCCCAAUUCAUCCCAUCCCUUCUCCUUUUCCUCUUUCAAUAAAGGUCAGAACUUUUGAACAAUAAUCCCCCACUUGGAAGUCAAACAGGCUUAACUGCAAAACUAAGAAGCAGGAAACAAGCUCAUUAACAUCAAACACAUUUAAGAUUGACGGAGGAAGACUUAAGGUUGCUCUUCAUUUGUGGCCUCUCUCUCUCAAACAACUUUUUUUGAACAUGAAGUUUGACCACCAAGACUCCUCUGCCAUGUACAGCUGUAUGCAGUCUUUCCUGGAACCUGUAACAGAAAGCUCAAGAGGGAAGAUUCCCUAACUACCCCGAGAAAGGAGUUGCAUGACUGUUCUGAAGAACUGAGACUACACAGUAGUGAAAAAAUCGAGUGUGUUGAGAUUAUUUUUGAAACAACUUUUCACUAUAGAACCCAUGGAACAAAGUUGAAAAACUAUCCAGAUUUCAUCUUCAGAAUCCUCCUGCUUCCUCUGAAUGUGUCUUCUUACACAUAA